rfam:Trichobilharzia regenti genome assembly, scaffold: TRE_scaffold0012508
GUACUGCUGAAGAGUCCCAAACUAGGACGAAACAGUGGUCCAGUAC